rnacentral:rRNA from 1 species
CACCGGGCUAACUACGUGCCAGCCAGCCGCGGUAAUACGUAGGGUGCCAGCGUUGUCCGGAAUUAUUGGGCGUAAAGAGCUCGUAGGCGGUUUGUCGCGUCUGCUGUGAAAGCCCGGGGCUCAACCCCGGGUCUGCAGUGGGUACGGGCAGACUUGAGUGCGGUAGGGGAGAUUGGAAUUCCUGGUGUAGCGGUGGAAUGCGCAGAUAUCAGGAGGAACACCGAUGGCGAAGGCAGAUCUCUGGGCCGUUACUGACGCUGAGGAGCGAAAGCAUGGGGAGCGAACAGGAUUAGAUACCCUGGUAGUCCAUGCCGUAAACGUUGGGCGCUAGAUGUGGGGACCAUUCCACGGUUUCUGUGUCGUAGCUAACGCAUUAAGCGCCCCGCCUGGGGAGUACGGCCGCAAGGCUAAAACUCAAAGGAAUUGACGGGGGCCCGCACAAGCGGCGGAGCAUGCGGAUUAAUUCGAUGCAACGCGAAGAACCUUACCAAGGCUUGACAUAUACCGGAAACGGCCAGAGAUGGUCGCCCUCCUUUGGAGUCGGUAUACAGGUGGUGCAUGGUUGUCGUCAGCUCGUGUCGUGAGAUGUUCGGUUAAGUCCGGCAACGAGCGCAACCCUCGUCCUAUGUUGCCAGCGGGUUAUGCCGGGGACUCAUGGGAUACUGCCGUGGUCAACACGGAGGAAGGUGGGGAUGACGUCAAAUCAUCAUGCCCCUUAUGUCUUGGGCUUCACGCAUGCUACAAUGGCCGGUACAGUGGGUUGCGAUACCGUGAGGUGGAGCGAAUCCCAAAAAGCCGGUCUCAGUUCGGAUUGGGGUCUGCAACUCGACCCCAUGAAGUCGGAGUCGCUAGUAAUCGCAGAUCAGCAACGCUGCGGUGAAUACGUUCCCGGGCCUUGUACACACCGCCCGUCAAGUCAUGAAAGUCGGUAACACCCGAAGCCGGUGGUCCUAACCCAUUUGUGGGAGGGAGCUGUCGAAGGUUGAUUCCGGAUAUGUCA